GGUAAAAUGACUGAGGUUAAAGGUAAUAGAUUGUAAAUUUAUUUAGGAGAUUUUCUCUUUUACCA
rnacentral:tRNA from 1 species